CCUACGGGAGGCAGCAGUGGGGAAUCUUUCGCAAUGGGCGAAAGCCUGACGCAGCGACGCCGCGUGAGGGAUGAAGGUCUUCGGAUCGUAAACCUCUUUCAGCAGGGAAGAACAUUCACUGUGCUAAUCAGCAGUGAAUUGACGGUACCUGCAAAGUAACCACCGGCUAACUCCGUGCCAGCAGCCGCGCUAAUACGGAGGGUGCGAGCGUUAAUCGGAAAUACUGGGCGUAAAGCGGUCGUAGGCGGUAUGUCAAGUCAAGGGUGAAAUCCCCGCGCUCAACUUGGGAACUGCAUUUGAAACUGGCAAACUGGAGUAUGUGAGAGGAUAGUGGAAUUCCAGGUGUAGGAGUGAAAUCCGUAGAUAUCUGGAGGAACAUCAGUGGCGAAGGCGAGUAUCUGGCACAUAACUGACGCUGAGGAGCGAAAGCGUGGGUAGCAAACAGGAUUAGAUACCCCAGUAGUC
rnacentral:rRNA from 1 species